AAAUAAAUAAAUGCAUUCAUGAUGGUAUAUUUAAAAAAACGACGAAACAUAUUUUCGUUCAAAGACAAAAGAGUAAUCAAAAGAAAAAAUUAAGAAAAAUAUACGAAAAAAGUAUAAGGAACUAAUUUUCCACAUUUCACUAUCAAAUAAGAUGAGUUACCAAAGAACAAAAACAAUUUUUGCAUUCGCACUUUUUGCGAUAUUUUUGACUUCUUCAUUCAAAAUAUCCUUUGGAUUUCCGAACGCUGCUAAAUCUUGUGGAAUGAAUAUGUUAGAUGUACUACAAAUUAUUUGCGGUUAUAGUAUUAAAUACUUAGACAACAAAGUCGAGCUUGAAGAUGUUAAACAUCCAUGUUGCAAAAAAGAUGAGUUACCAAAGAACAAAAACAAUUUUUGCAUUUGCAUUUUUUGCCAUAAUUUUGACUUCUUCAUUCACAAUAUCCUUUGGAUAUCGGACGAUUGCUAAAAUUUGUGGGAGGAAUAUAUUAGAUAUGCUAGAAAUUAUUUGCGGUGGAACUGAUAAUUACUUAAAAUACAAAGAAUUCCUUAUUGAUAGCAUACAUCCAUGUUGCAGACAAGGUUGUACACAUUAUGAGUACUCUGAAUACUGUUGAGAAAAUUAAAGAUAUUCUAUAAUUUAGGCGGCAAAUGUAAAAAUGUAAAAAAAAAUGAAGAAGAAAAUACA